rnacentral:rRNA from 2 species
UGGGGAAUCUUCCGCAAUGGGCGAAAGCCUGACGGAGCAACGCCGCGUGAGUGAAGACGGCCUUCGGGUUGUAAAGCUCUGUUAUACGGGACGAAUAAUCUUGUGGUUAAUACCCAUGAGAAGUGACGGUACCGUAAGAGAAAGCCACGGCUAACUACGUGCCAGCAGCCGCGGUAAUACGUAGGUGGCAAGCGUUGUCCGGAAUUAUUGGGCGUAAAGGGCGCGCAGGCGGCUUCUUAAGUCUGUCUUAAAAGUGCGGGGCUUAACCCCGUGAUGGGAUGGAAACUGGGAAGCUCAGAGUAUCGGAGAGGAAAGCGGAAUUCCUAGUGUAGCGGUGAAAUGCGUAGAUAUUAGGAGGAACACCAGUGGCGAAAGCGGCUUUCUGGACGAAAACUGACGCUGAGGCGCGAAAGCCAGGGGAGCGAACG